UGCCCAGCAACUCCUAUUCCUACGUCCACGCGGUACCGGCCGGAAACUAUGAGCAACCUUAGGGAAGAUCGGGUAACCAAUCCCGGUGGGAACUUUGGUCGUAGGCUGACAGGGAAGG
rnacentral:ribozyme from 1 species